UGGUGGUGACAAGGACGACGGGAGAACUUGCCCGGAAUAGAGGAGGUAACCGCCGUGUCGGGCGUCCCUGAAACGGAGGGACCAGAGAGAGGCCCGGAGGCCGGAGGAAGCCCUUGGCCCAGCGCUGGGGUUUUCAGAAACGGAGAGACGGACGGGUUCCGGGGAAGGGCAACAGUCUCUUUUUACUCACCCUGGCGGAGGUUUUGAUGGUGGAUGAGGUCGCCAGCAAAAGGAGAAUCUAGGAGAUUCUCUGGGUCUUCGGCAGGUUGGGAAAAGACCCAUGUGAUUAUACUGAACUGACCCAGAUAACCCAGGAUAAUUCACAUCUCAAGACCCUUAAACUUGAUGAUGUCUGCAAAGUCCCUUUUGCCAUAAGGUUAUAUUGGCAUAGGGUCCAGGAAUUAGUGCAGAGACACAAUCUCAGAAAGAAAAUGAGAGUGGAUAAUGAAGACAGAUCAUCUGGGUGUAAACCUGAGGAUAGUCCAGAAUAUAGAGGUUAGAGAGAUAAGAAAGAAACUAGUAAGGAAACUAAGGAGCAGCCUCUAAGUAGAAGGAAAAGAAUGGUGACUGGUAAUUGGAGCUGAAGACAGUUUCAAGGGAGGUUAUGUUAAUUGCUGCUGACACAUCAAGGAAGAUGAGGACUGAGCAUUGACCAUUGGAUUUAGCAACAUGGAGUUUCCUGCUGACCUGGACCUGAGCAGUUUUAAUGGAGUGGUGGGGGCAAUGCAUGACAGAAGAGAAUUCAAGACAGAAGGGACUUUUCCAAAAAAAAGGUAUACAAAUGGUUAACGUGCAACAUGGAAAGAUGUUCACCAAUAUUAGUCAUUUGGGAAAUGAAAAUCAAAAGCACAAUGAGUUAUCAGUUCACAUACACUCAGAAGGCAAUAAUCAAAGAAAUGGACAAUAGCAAGGGUUGGGAAGGAUAUGGAAAUAUUCUCCCACAUUGCUGGUGGAAUGUAAAAAUGGUGAAGAUGAAGGUGGAAAAACGGAAAUGAAGUAUUGAGAGGGAGAUGGAAUACGAGAAGCUUUCUGACAGAUAACCCAAUGGAACAAACUGACUGGGCAUCUGAAAUGAGUAAGAAGGAGUAAAAAAUGAGCAAAAUUAUGCUUCUCUGUGGAUGCAAAUCAUAUCUCCAUUACUUACACUCAGGAGAACUUGUAUGAAGUAGUUAAUUUCUCUGGAUUUUAGCUUUUUCAUGUAUACAAUGGAGGGUUUAUGCCUCACAGAGUUGUAGAAACUGUAAAUGAGAGACUUAUGAAAAGCCUACUGAAUGACAUUAUGAAUAAUAUCAUCAGUGGAAGGUGAUUUGAGGAUGUGAUGCUGUUAUCCCUGACAUGGGCAGGAGGGAACUUGGACAAAGACCAAGGAAGAAAAUAUCUCUUCUCUGAAUAUCUUGUCUGCGUUUGAGUGCAAUGUCCUUUAUUCCAUGUCUUCCACCCAGUCAGGGCCCUACUGCCACUUAAGGGGUAAUUUCUCUUUCAAUCAUUAGUUGUUCCAGCACCAAGAAGCUUAGCCUGAGUUGAGGCACCUGAGUCAGGAGGCCAGGAUCCUUGGGAGAUUAACAAGAGGAUACUCCCAUCAGAAUACUCCAGGAUUCCAACAGUAUCUUAGUCUAUUU
rnacentral:lncRNA from 1 species